rnacentral:rRNA from 1 species
CACUCCUGCGGGAGGCAGCAGUAGGGAAUCUUCGGCAAUGGGGGCAACCCUGACCGAGCAACGCCGCGUGAGUGAAGAAGGUUUUCGGAUCGUAAAGCUCUGUUGUAAGUCAAGAACGAGUGUGAGAGUGGAAAGUUCACACUGUGACGGUAGCUUACCAGAAAGGGACGGCUAACUACGUGCCAGCAGCCGCGGUAAUACGUAGGUCCCGAGCGUUGUCCGGAUUUAUUGGGCGUAAAGCGAGCGCAGGCGGUUUGAUAAGUCUGAAGUUAAAGGCUGUGGCUCAACCGUAGUUCGCUUUGGAAACUGUCAAACUUGAGUGCAGAAGGGGAGAGUGGAAUUCCAUGUGUAGCGGUGAAAUGCGUAGAUAUAUGGAGGAACACCGGUGGCGAAAGCGGCUCUCUGGUCUGUAACUGACGCUGAGGCUCGAAAGCGUGGGGAGCGAACAGGAUUAGAAACCCCUAGUAGUCCCAU